ACAUCACCUACUCAACGUCAUAUACCUUGUGUUGAAGAUAUCCUCUCAGAUAGUGAAGAUGUGACAACGUUAGUACGAUGGUGGCUACGGGCAGCCUCUGCUGAUCGUACGACUUGGCGGCCACACAUGAGCGUCCACUUACCAUGGGACACUGUUUAGUCCUGCUACUCAUUACGACUUAUGGAAUCAAAUUAUCCCUGCAAGCAGGGACUACUUUAGGAAAGCUUUUUGUAGUAACAGUGCCGAAAAUGAACAACGUCUGGGACGAGUACACCCAAAUGCCACAGAUAUACUUGUACUUGUUCACGAAUUCUCCAAAGGCGAUUGAGGUGAAUUUCAAUGUUUAUUAUCACGAGGACAGUCCAAUCUCGAUCAAAUUUAAUGUCUACAUGACUAUACCAACGAAG
rnacentral:sRNA from 1 species